GGAGGGGUGCCAGAGUGGUCGAUCGGGCACGCCUGGAGAGCGUGUGUACCUUCGGGUACCGUGGGUUCGAAUCCCACCCCCUCCGCCA
rnacentral:tRNA from 1 species